CAGCCGCCGCGGUAAUACGGAGGGAGCUAGCGUUGUUCGGAACUACUGGGCGUAAAGCGCACGUAGGCGGUUACUCAAGUCAGAGGUGAAAGCCCGGGGCUCAACCCCGGAACUGCCUUUGAAACUAGGUGACUAGAAUCUUGGAGAGGUCAGUGGAAUUCCGAGUGUAGAGGUGAAAUUCGUAGAUAUUCGGAAGAACACCAGUGGCGAAGGCGGCUUACUGGCUCAUUCUAGACGCUGAGGUGCGAAAGCGUGGGGAGCAAACAGGAUUAGAUACCCCUGUAGUCCCUGUCUCUUAUAC
rnacentral:rRNA from 1 species